CCGUUGGAGCCCAGAGCGCUGCCCCUCGGGCGGACCCCGGCGGGGCGCGGGGCGCUCCCCGAGGUGGCGAUAUAAACUAGACCCGAAAACAAACAAACAGCAACGCGACCUGUAAUUUGGGUUUAGUUUCCCCGUCCCCUGCAGGUGCGCGUGCAGGGGACGGGACGGGACGGGACGGGACGGGACGGGACGGGACGGUGUGGCAGCAAUGGGAGAGGUGCGGCCUCAGCCUCUCCUCAGUAGCUGCAGGUUUGCAUCUCUUUCCGCAUGCAGACGCCCACCUGCCCCCCCCCCCCCAAAAACCAGCUCUGCCUGGGAAAUGGUUUUGAGGAAUUCUUGUACAAUACAGGUGUGCUGAACGGAUAGAGUGCUCCGUACAAGGAGCUCGCCUUAAUUCUGUUGAGAAAAGCCUAUGUUGUUCCCUGAAAGUUUGUAAUACAAUGCUUUUAAAAAUAGAUAUAACCUGUUUAACAAACUCAGCAGGAAAUGUGAAGAAGUGCAUCUCCUACUUUACUGGAGGUGCAUUCCAUCUGGCCAACAGCACAGGGUGCCUCUGGAUAUGCUAAAGAAAACCCAAAGCACGGAACAUGACACAGAGACCUUUAGCUCUGCUGGUGUAAUAUCCUUCUCAAGACAGCAGAGCAGGGAUGAGAAGAAGAGAAGCUUCUGGAAAAGAGGGACUCAUUUCCCAAGUGGAUGCAGGAGCAAAGCUGCUAAGUGUGUGCUUCAGCUAAUAGGGGGUGGCAGCAACCAGAGACAGCAGUCGAAGAAAUGUGAGAUUACUGGCAAAGGUCCUGGAGGAGGCAGAAAUAAGGUGCAGAAGAGCAUGAAUGAAGGGUGAUAACUUACCAUGCUCUUUCUACUUAGCCCUGCUUAGGUGCAGCCUAGCCCUCAAUGCAAAUUUGUCCCAGUUUCCAAUUUGGAGGAAGGGAAGACAGGUGAAGGUGAGCAUCUGCUUAUACCUUGCCACCGGUAUCUCUAUCUGCAAGGAAGCUCUUCCAUAUGCCCUGCUCCGGUUCCUCUCCCCAGUUCCUACAGCAGCUCCUUAUUCACUCAGGGAAGGGCUGUGCCAUGAAGAGGGCAUUGUGGUUUACUGUCCCAGGCCCCACUGUUUAUCAGGCACCAAUUGUCCCAGCUGGUGGCAUAGAAAGAUUUAAUUUAACUGAGAGCAUGAAAACCACAACCUGGAGCAAAGCAGCUUCUGUAGUGUGACCUAAUUUGAGAACAAAUGGACUGGGAUCAAAAAAGGUCAUGGUGACAAAGUGGAGUUAAAAGCUGACUUAGAUCAACAUUCUCAAGCAAUUGAGAAACAAAGGGAAUAAGGAAAUAACAUGUGACAGAUUCAAAAAUCAAUAAACAGGUUGCGGUUAAUGUGCAUUUGAUCUGUCAUCAAUACUGCUUCUUUUGAUCCUACUGGUUUGAUUUGGUCUCUGAAAUAGUGUGUGUAUUUGAAAGAGAAGUGAUAGCCAGACUGGCUUGACAGAAGUGGGUAGAACCCUCCAGCAAAAAGGGGAAUUGCCUCCAGGUGAAGAGGCUUUUGGAUAAAAUCAAAAUUAAAUCUGCUGAGCUUAAGGAAUCACAACUGAAAAUGGCAGUAAUGAGAUCUGAGGAGAAAACGAACACCUUAAAAACAUAGCUGUCAAUGUCAGCAUUGUGCUGAGGAACAUGAUUGAGUUCUCCUUGUCUUCCAUCCACCGAGAGCACAGCCUAGUCAAAAAUCGGAUGGAUCAAAUGUACUUGGAAGUUUUUUUUAGUGUACCAAGCAGCACUUCAGCUCAUUUUUGUGUGAAUUUUGUGUGCACAGGGUUUGUCUUUUCCUUCAGUGCAAUGUUGUGCGUCCACACUGAAUCUUGAGAAAACAGUCCACCAGUAUCUACUGUGUGCAGUAAAUGAAGCAGUAUAUUACCUAGGAGAAAAUUCAUUUGGACUGCUUAUUUUUGCUGGGUCACAGUCCGGAGUAGCCAACCACACAUUUGCCAAGGGCAGGACAUAAUGUGCUUUGUCUGUUAUGUUAAUGCUUUCAUGGUC